rnacentral:rRNA from 1 species
AACGAACGCUGGCGGCGCGUCUUAAACAUGCAAGUCGAACGUGAACCCUAGUGCUUGCAUUGGGGGGAAAGUGGCGAACGGGUGAGUAACACGUGGAUAAUCUGCCUCCAGGAUUGGGAUAACCAUUCGAAAGGAUGGCUAAUACCGAAUGACAUGGUGGCUUCACAAGAAGUUAUCAUCAAAGGUGGGGACCGCAAGGCCUACUGCCAGGAGAUGAGUCCGCGGCCCAUUAGCUUGUUGGUGGGGUAAUGGCCUACCAAGGCUACGAUGGGUAGCCGGCCUGAGAGGGUGUCCGGCCACAUUGGGACUGAGAUACGGCCCAGACUCCUACGGGUGGCUG